GCAAUAUCCUGCUUGGAGGGUAAGUUCCUCAGGAUCUCCUUUAGGUCUCCGUCUGUUGGAGGGCCCGAGUUGUCUGAGUCUGCCGGGCUGGAAGGAGACAUGCAGAGAGGCGAGGAGUCAGCCGCCAUGUUGGGGCCUAUCAGGCCGGCAUUACUGUCCGCCUGGUCGCGGAAAUAUUUGGUGAGUGCGCCCGAUUUCCCCGACUGGGUUUUGCUGGGGGCUUGUUGGGAGGAUGUGGCUCGUUUAGG